rnacentral:tRNA from 1 species
GUUGCGGUUUUGAGCAAUUGGCAGAGCAGCGGUCUUGUAAACCGCAGGUUAAGGGUUCAAGUCCCUUCCGUGGCU